rnacentral:rRNA from 1 species
UACGUAGGGUGCGAGCGUUGUCCGGAAUUAUUGGGCGUAAAGAGCUUGUAGGCGGUUUGUCGCGUCUGCCGUGAAAAUCCGGGGCUCAACCCCGGACUUGCGGUGGGUACGGGCAGACUAGAGUGUGGUAGGGGAGACUGGAAUUCCUGGUGUAGCGGUGAAAUGCGCAGAUAUCAGGAGGAACACCAAUGGCGAAGGCAGCUCGCUGGGACGGUACUGACGCUGAGGCGCGAAAGCGUGGGGAGCAAACAGG